AAAGGUAGCAUAAUCAGUUGACUUAUAAUUGAAGUCUGGAAUGAAUGAAUAUACGGGUAACCGCUGUCUCGACAGUAUUAUUAUGAAGUUGGUUAUGAAGUGCAAACACUUUAAGUUAUGAAAAUAGACGAGAAGACCCUAGAAACUUUACAAUUUUGUUGGGGCAACAGGGUAACAUAGAAAUUUACUUUUCUGAACAUGGCGCAAUGAGGCUAGAUCAAGUUACUCUAGGGAUAACAGCAUAAUUAAUAAUAGUUUGUGACCUCGAUGUUGGACUAGGUAUAAGCGUUUUUAGAAGACACGCGUUAUUGCUCUGUUCGAGCACACAGCACCUACAU
rnacentral:rRNA from 1 species